UACAGAGGUCUCAAGCGUUGUUCGGAUUCAUUGGGCGUAAAGGGUGUGUAGGUGGCGCGCUAAGUCGGGUGUGAAAUUUCGGAGCUUAACUCCGAAACUGCAUUCGAUACUGGCGUGCUUGAGGACUGGAGAGGAGACUGGAAUUCAUGGUGUAGCAGUGAAAUGCGUAGAGAUCAUGAGGAAGACCAGUGACGAAGGCGGGUCUCUGGACAGUUCCUGACACUGAGACACGAAGGCCAGGGGAGCAAACGGG
rnacentral:rRNA from 1 species